UCAAACUGGAGAUGGCGACCGGCGCACGGGUGAGUAACACGUAUCCAACCUGCCGAUAACUCGGGGAUAGCCUUUCGAAAGAAAGAUUAAUACCCGAUGGCAUAAUAGAACCGCAUGGUUUGAUUAUUAAAGAAUUUCGGUUAUCGAUGGGGAUGCGUUCCAUUAGGUUGUUGGCGGGGUAACGGCCCACCAAGCCUUCGAUGGAUAGGGGUUCUGAGAGGAAGGUCCCCCACAUUGGAACUGAGACACGGUCCAAACUCCUACGGGAGGCAGCAUG
rnacentral:rRNA from 1 species